ensembl:lncRNA
UUGGCUCUGCCACAGCUGCUUCGACGUUCCUGAUUAUCCUCAUGCUUUGGACAUUCCUACUGGCAGUUGAGCGAUUGAGUAAGUCACAAAAAAACGUAUUCUCUGUGUUUAUCAUCUUAUGGUUUGUACAAUCGAUUAAGGGACAGGCCACUAUUUGUUUGUCCUCAGAAAAGGAGCCCAAAUACUGUCUCGGGCCUGAUGGCCUGCACUCUGGAUCAGGUCUGGUGACGUUAGUCCCCCAGACCUCGUCUGCUGUCUCUGCCGGCUCCUAACACCCUGCGGCCACACACCCACCACAGCUCCACACACAGCUGAUGGCUCCUCUUCUUCCUCCUCUUCUUCCCCCAACUCCUCCCAGCUAACCGAUGACAUCGAGUAGGGAUAACGAGGUCCCUCCUGCUUCUAUUGUCAUCAACUUGACCACUAAUAUCAAGCCCUCUGGACAGUCAGAGAACGCUCUGUGUGGAGAAACAGGACCAGACAAUAGAUACUGCACCCAGCAGAUGGAGCAACACCUGCAGACAAUAUGGGACACAGCUCAAGGUCAGAGCAUCGACUUGCUGGACUACGACGCAAUCCAGGACAUGUCCCUGCUGCUGGGCUCCGCAGACCAUCGGGGCAGUGCCUUGCGGAGGUUCGCUCGUUUCCUUGGAGUCCACCCUCAAAUCCUGGCCCACCUCCAUAGCUUCCCAGACCUUUUCCAUUACCUCCGUGCCUCCACCUAUAUACUGCUGCCCCAACUGGCUCAGGCUGCAGCACUCCUACCCUGCCCAUGGGUCGUUGCUAGGAUACACCAGGCCGUAAUGAAUAAGUGAACAGUGCAACAACCACAAUAGUUUACGAAAGAAAGAGUUGUUAUUCAUUCAUUGAAUGUUGUAUUAAUUAAAUGAUUUGUUUAGCAUUUAAAUGGUUUAAAGUAAAAAAAAAUGGAUGCAUCUUUUAAGUUUAAAUAGUAUAAAUAAAAACAAUAUGUCUUUACCGUUGAAAGCUAUGCAAAUAUAAUGUUCAAUAGUAAAGGUUUAUGUCACUUUUUAUGGACUGCGUACAGCAAAAAAGGAAUUGACCACCAUAAAGCUGACCACUUUAUCACCCCAUGUCUAUGAAUUUUAUAUUAUUAGGGGUCAUAUGCUUCCCCCAUUCAAAUUCCAUUGAAAUAUUGAUUAUUGCAUUAGGUAAGCAUUAAAUAAGACACUGGGAAAUUCUGUGAAAUUGAAGCCAUUGUGCAACCAAACCCCUUCGUGUGAUGUUACUUCUUCCUGUUUACCAUGUAAAAUAAAUGAGGCCCUCUGGCUAAAGCAUGUGAGGCAGUCUUGAACAGACGAUGUUGUGUUCAGGAAAGGCGACAGAACAUAGAGGUCUGGGAAAAAAAGAGCCUCCUUGCUGCUGAAACAUAUCAAUAUAUUUUGCCCUGAUCAUUCCCAGUUCGCCUCAACAGAUUCUUCGACAACAUCGACACGGUGAGCAACUCAAAUUUUCAGAGCAGGGACCCAUACUUGGACUAUAACCCCAAAAGGUAACAUUCUACCAGAUGUAUUGAUGCAUUUUGUAGGAGUUUUCUUUCUUUCCACUGCACGGUUAUAAGUCACAAGUUGCGAGCAAUUUGGUCGGUAGGUUUUAAAAGUAAUUAUAUUGUUUUGCGGUGUACAUUUUUGUAUGUCCCUAAUAUAUGUAUGUUUUUCCAUAUGGUAUUCCACAGUUAAUGGAACUUUCAAAUGUAAUUGACUUCUAUUAAAAUG